UACGGAGGAUCCAAGCGUUAUCCGGAUUUAUUGGGUCUAAAGGGUGCGUAAGCGGCUUAUUAAGUCAGGGGUGAAAGACGGUGGCUCAACCAUCGCAGUGCCCUUGAUACUGAUGAGCUUGAAUGGACUAGAGGUAGGCGGAAUGUGACAAGUAGCGGUGAAAUGCAUAGAUAUGUCACAGAACACCGAUUGCGAAGGCAGCUUACUAUGGUUUUAUUGACGCUGAGGCGCGAAAGCUAGGGGAGCAAACGGG
rnacentral:rRNA from 1 species